rnacentral:tRNA from 1 species
GGUGGGUUGUCCGAGUGGCUAAAGGAGAUGGGCUGUAAACCCAUUAGCGUAUGCUUACGCUGGUUCGAAUCCAGCACCCACCACCA